GACGAACGCUGGCGGCGUGCUUAACACAUGCAAGUCGAACGAGGGGAGAACAGGUGAGUAAUACGUGGGUAACCGGCCCUAUUUAUGGGAUAAGCGGGGGAAACGGGGGGUAAUACCGAAUAAGGGGGGAUGGGCUCGCGGCCUAUGAGCUUGUUGGGGGGGUGAUUGCCUACCAAGGCGGGGACGGGUAGGCGGCCUGAGAGGGUGACUGGCACCAUUAGGACUGAGAUACGGCCCAGACUCCUACCGGAGGCAGCAGUGGGGGAUAGUGCACAAGUGUCGACAGCCUACUCCAGCGACGCCGCGUGGGUUAUGAAGGCUUUCGGGUUGUAAACCUCUUUCGCUCUCGAACCGGUAUCUGGAGAAGAAGCGCCGGCUAACUACGUGCCAGCAGCCGCGGUAAUAC
rnacentral:rRNA from 1 species